GAUAGAGCAAGGACAGCUUGGUGUCAGUAGGCUCUGUCUUAGUAGGGUAUCCUGUCGUUCAGCAUUGAGGUGAUAGAUCAAGGACAGCUUGGUGUCAGUAGGCUGUGUCUUAGUAGGGUAUACUGUUGUUCACCAUGGAGGGGAUAGAGCAAGAACAGCUUGGUGUCAGAAGGCUGUGUCUUAGUAGGGUAUCCUGUUGUUCAGCAUUGAGAGGAUAGAGCAAGGACAGCUUGGUGUCAGUAGGCUGUGUCUUAGUAGGGUAUCCUGUUGUUCAGCAUUGAGGGGAUAGAGCAAGGACAGCUUGGUGUCAGUAGGCU